UACGUAGGGUGCGAGCGUUAAUCGGAAUUACUGGGCGUAAAGUGUGCGCAGGCGGCCGCGCAAGUCGAGUGUGAAAGCCCCGAGCUUAACUUGGGAACUGCGCUCGAAACUACUUGGCUAGAGUGUGGCAGAGGGAGGUGGAAUUCCACGUGUAGCGGUGAAAUGCGUAGAGAUGUGGAGGAACACCAGUGGCGAAGGCGACUUUCUGGCCUAUAACUGACGCUGAGGCGCGAAAGCGUGGGGAGCAAACAGG
rnacentral:rRNA from 1 species